CCUACGGGAGGCUGCAGUAGGGAAUCUUCCACAAUGGGCGAAAGCCUGAUGGAGCAAAGCCGCGUGGGGGAAGAAGGUCUUCGGAGCGUAAAACCCUGUUGUUAGAGAAGAAAGUGCGUGAGAGUAACUGUUCACGUUUCGACGGUAUCUAACCAGAAAGCCACGGCUAACUACGUGCCAGCAGCCGCGGUAAUACGUAGGUGGCAAGCGUUAUCCGGAUUUAUUGGGCGUAAAGGGAACGCAGGGGGUCUUUUAAGUCUGAUGUGAAAGCUUUCGGCUUAACCGGAGUAGUGCAUUGGAAACUGGGAGACUUGAGUGCAGAAGAGGAGAGUGGAACUCCAUGUGUAGCGGUGAAAUGCGUAGAUAUAUGGAAGAACACCAGUGGCGAAGGCGGCUCUCUGGUCUGUAACUGACGCUGAGGUUCGAAAGCGUGGGUAGCAAACAGGAUUAGAUACCCCAGUAGUC
rnacentral:rRNA from 1 species